rnacentral:rRNA from 1 species
UUUCCCUCUGGCGGCAGGCCUAACACAUGCAAGUCGAGCGGAUGAAGGGAGCUUGCUCCUGGAUUCAGCGGCGGACGGGUGAGUAAUGCCUAGGAAUCUGCCUGGUAGUGGGGGAUAACGUCCGGAAACGGGCGCUAAUACCGCAUACGUCCUGAGGGAGAAAGUGGGGGAUCUUCGGACCUCACGCUAUCAGAUGAGCCUAGGUCGGAUUAGCUAGUUGGUGGGGUAAAGGCCUACCAAGGCGACGAUCCGUAACUGGUCUGAGAGGAUGAUCAGUCACACUGGAACUGAGACACGGUCCAGACUCCUACGGGAGGCAGCAGUGGGGAAUAUUGGACAAUGGGCGAAAGCCUGAUCCAGCCAUGCCGCGUGUGUGAAGAAGGUCUUCGGAUUGUAAAGCACUUUAAGUUGGGAGGAAGGGCAGUAAGUUAAUACCUUGCUGUUUUGACGUUACCAACAGAAUAAGCACCGGCUAACUUCGUG